rnacentral:rRNA from 1 species
AUUGAACGCUGGCGGCAGGCUUAACACAUGCAAGUCGAGCGAAGAGAGGUAGCUUGCUACUGAUCUUAGCGGCGGACGGGUGAGUAAUGCUUAGGAAUCUGCCUAUUAGUGGGGGACAACAUUUCGAAAGGAAUGCUAAUACCGCAUACGUCCUACGGGAGAAAGCAGGGGAUCUUCGGACCUUGCGCUAAUAGAUGAGCCUAAGUCGGAUUAGCUAGUUGGUGGGGUAAAGGCCUACCAAGGCGACGAUCUGUAGCGGGUCUGAGAGGAUGAGCCGCCACACUGGGACUGAGACACGGCCCAGACUCCUACGGGAGGCAGCAGUGGGGAAUAUUGGACAAUGGGCGCAAGCCUGAUCCAGCCAUGCCGCGUGUGUGAAGAAGGCCUUAUGGUCGUAAAGCACUUUAAGCGAGGAGGAGGCUACUUUAGUUAAUACCUAGAGAUAGUGGACGUUACUCGCAGAAUAAGCACCGGCUAACUCUGUGCCAGCCGCCGCGGUAACAC